rnacentral:lncRNA from 1 species
GUCGAAACUAAUUAAAGAAUGUAGUACAAAUGUCGAACAUUUUGGUGAAGAUAAUCUGCUCAAAUAUGAAAUAUCAGCUUGUGAUACGCAAUUAGACUACCAAAAGCAAACCGGAAAUGAAACUCAAGAUGAUAGUGACGACGAUGAUUGCAUUUCCAUAUACUCAAAUACAUCUUUAAUUCUAGAUGAGAUUCUUAUGUCAUGUUAUAAAAACAUAGGAACGAAUAAAUGUGAAAAAAAUAAAAUCACUCCAAAUACUUCAGAUACGAGUAAGCAACAUAAUAAUUUAGAAUGUGUUAAAGCAUUAGAUACUAUUGCAAAAUCUGAUAUUCCAUUAAAUAACAAAUUAACAAAUUUGCAAAACACGAGUAAAUACAAAGAAACGCAAAAAAA